UUUAAAUUGAGAGUUUGAUCCUGGCUCAGGAUGAACGCUGGUGGCGUGCCUAAUACAUGCAAGUCGUACGCUAGCCGCUGAAUUGAUCCUUCGGGUGAAGUGAGGCAAUGACUAGAGUGGCGAACUGGUGAGUAACACGUAAGAAACCUGCCCUUUAGUGGGGGAUAACAUUUGGAAACAGAUGCUAAUACCGCGUAACAACAAAUCACACAUGUGAUCUGUUUGAAAGGUCCUUUUGGAUCGCUAGAGGAUGGUCUUGCGGCGUAUUAGCUUGUUGGUAGGGUAGAAGCCUACCAAGGCAAUGAUGCGUAGCCGAGUUGAGAGACUGGCCGGCCACAUUGGGACUGAGACACUGCCCAAACUCCUACGGGAGGCUGCAGUAGGGAAUUUUCCGCAAUGCACGAAAGUGUGACGGAGCGACGCCGCGUGUGUGAUGAAGGCUUUCGGGUCGUAAAGCACUGUUGUAAGGGAAGAAUAACUGAAUUCAGAGAAAGUUUUCAGCUUGACGGUACCUUACCAGAAAGGGAUGGCUAAAUACGUGCCAGCAGCCGCGGUAAUACGUAUGUCCCGAGCGUUAUCCGGAUUUAUUGGGCGUAAAGCGAGCGCAGACGGUUUAUUAAGUCUGAUGUGAAAUCCCGAGGCCCAACCUCGGAACUGCAUUGGAAACUGAUUUACUUGAGUGCGAUAGAGGCAAGUGGAACUCCAUGUGUAGCGGUGAAAUGCGUAGAUAUGUGGAAGAACACCAGUGGCGAAAGCGGCUUGCUAGAUCGUAACUGACGUUGAGGCUCGAAAGUAUGGGUAGCAAACGGGAUUAGAUACCCCGGUAGUCCAUACCGUAAACGAUGGGUGCUAGUUGUUAAGAGGUUUCCGCCUCCUAGUGACGUAGCAAACGCAUUAAGCACCCCGCCUGAGGAGUACGGCCGCAAGGCUAAAACUUAAAGGAAUUGACGGGGACCCGCACAAGCGGUGGAGCAUGUGGUUUAAUUCGAAGAUACGCGAAAAACCUUACCAGGUCUUGACAUACCAAUGAUCGCUUUUGUAAUGAAAGCUUUUCUUCGGAACAUUGGAUACAGGUGGUGCAUGGUCGUCGUCAGCUCGUGUCGUGAGAUGUUGGGUUAAGUCCCGCAACGAGCGCAACCCUUGUUAUUAGUUGCCAGCAUUUAGUUGGGCACUCUAAUGAGACUGCCGGUGAUAAACCGGAGGAAGGUGGGGACGACGUCAGAUCAUCAUGCCCCUUAUGACCUGGGC
rnacentral:rRNA from 1 species